AUAACCUUCAUGUAAAAUUAGCUGUAGAUUAGUUGUAUGCAUGUGUCAAGGUAGCUACACGAUCACCUCUCAUGCACAGUAAUUAGUAUGCAACUGACAAACCCUGACCUCUUCCAGUCCGUCGUUACGCCACAGGGAGGGCAGCCCUCGGUUGGCUGACUGAAGCGCGUUCCACUCUUCCUCCAUCACCUCCUGGACGAAAACAGAGCCCUUGGCGCUGCAGUGUUGACCAUCUCCCAUCUGACGGUACUUCUCCAGUAACCUGGAUCGGCUGUUCUUCAACCUGUCCACGCAACGCUGAGGAACAAACAAAAAAAGUUAAUCAAAACAAGUUACACUUCAUGAACUAAAGCUUUGACAUUAACUCGGUGAGCCACCAGAUGAGGAGGGCCGACAUCGGAGGAUACGGUGAAUUGAGCCCAGCAGAUGAGGAGGCCGACAUCGGAGGAUACGGUGAAUUGAGACGUAGCCCAGCAGAUGUGGAGGGCCGACAUCGGAGGAUACUGUGAAUUGAGCCCAGCAGAUGAAGAGGGCCGACAUCGGAGGAUACGACACAGUCCAGGAGGAUAACUCACAUCUCUGCUGAGCAGAAGAGACGUUUCAACAUCAAGCUAGGCUUUGAUAGUCUGCCGAGUCUCGUUACCACGAUGAGCUCUCAGCCAUGUAUAAAGUGUGUUUCAGCUGCAGCUGUCCGUCACCUGCCAACGCUUUGACCACAUGAGGGAGAAGUUCAGAGAGUACGUCCGGGCACGGACUCAACAGAACUGGUGGUUCUGUAUCGUAACACACCUCCAGGCUGUGUAAGGGCUAUAUGACCAAGGAGAGUGAUGGAGUGCUGCAUCAGAUGACCUGGCCUCCACAA